rnacentral:rRNA from 1 species
UACAGAGGGGGCAAGCGUUGUUCGGAAUUACUGGGCGUAAAGGGCGCGUAGGCGGCCUUCUAAGUCGAACGUGAAAUCCCUGGGCUCAACCCAGGAACUGCGUCCGAUACUGGAAGGCUUGAAUCCGGGAGAGGGAUGCGGAAUUCCAGGUGUAGCGGUGAAAUGACGUAGAUAUCGGGAGGAGCACCAGUGGCGAAGGCGACUUCCUGGCCUGUUCUUGACGCUGAGGCGCGAAAGCUAGGGGGAGCAAACGGG